rnacentral:rRNA from 1 species
GACGUAGGGGGCAAGCGUUGUCCGGAAUCAUUGGGCGUAAAGCGCACGUAGGCGGUUCGUUAUGUCGGAUGUGAAAGCCCUUGGCUUAACCGAGGAAGUGCAUCCGAAACUGGCGAGCUAGAGUACUAAAGAGGAUCGCGGAAUUCCCGGUGUAGAGGUGAAAUUCGUAGAUAUCGGGAGGAACACCGGUGGCGAAGGCGGCGAUCUGGGUAGAUAUUGACGCUGAGGUGCGAAAGCGUGGGGAGCAA